UGGAACUUCCCUACCCUUGUACUGGGGAAUCCCUUUACUCUCUCCGGGGGUCCAAGAGGGCAAUUGAAGAUCCCCAGUAUAAGUCUCUUGGGAAGAAAAAGGCAGAAUCCAGGACAAUGCAGGAAGUAUGUCAUAUGGCCACUCAUAGAUGCAAGAAAAACUA